ACUCCUGUAAUCCCAGCACUUUGGGAGGCCGAGGAGGACAGAUCACAAGGAAUGGUGCCACGUAUGAGUUCUCCCAAAGCGGAACCUGAGACAGACAGAUGCAGGACCAAGGCCCUUACCAGAAGCCAGCACCAUGUCCUUGAACAGAGCAGCUUGCAGGACUAUGAGUCUAUUAACUUGCUGUUCCAGGAUCAACAAUCUGUAACUCAGUGGAGAGGCCACAACACGUGCAGGGAUUUAAGUGUUAUCUUCUAAGGUCAUUUGUAGUUCCAAGUGUAUUUGGUAGAAUUUCCUCUUUUGACUCAAUUUCAUUUUAUCUGAUCAUCUUGGAGGAGAAGAAUUGACUGCAACUCGUGUUGUAUUUUUAAUUAUUGUUUGAUUCUUUGUCCACUUUCUUUUUUUCCUAUUAACUAGUUUAAAAAAUAAAAGAAGUGUGUUUGUUUUUUCUUUGUCCCUUCCCUAGCUAUCGUUAUUGAAAACCAUUUGCUGUUCCCUGGUUUCUGCAAGAGAGUUGAGCCAGAAUUAGAAAGGUUUGCAUUGGCACUGCUGCACACAAAGUCUAUCAUCUCCUAGUUGCUAUUAUCCCCUAGAGAAACUAGAAAGCAGAGUGGAAGUUUAGAAUCAGCUGAUUCUUGCAUUCAGUCAGGAUUUUAGUAGUUUAAUAUAUUUUAUCAGCCUUAGCAAUGGAAAAACUUCACUAUAAUUAUGGGAUAUAUCUACUGUAAGCAAUCACCAAUCUAGAUUCAGAGUUUGCUGAGGUUUUCCCAAAUAUGCGUCUAAAACUUAAAAAUUUAAUUUGUUCUUAUUAUAUGUAAAGUUAGCUUAUUCUACUGAAAAAUAAAACAUUUAAAAUAUCAGGGAAAAAUAAUUACUUUUUAAUAAAAAUCAAUUAUAAUUGGGAAA
rnacentral:lncRNA from 10 species